CUCCUGAGUGCUCAUUGGUGCUUUCAAGUGCUCAUCACAGCUCCCUUCCGCCCCUUCGCGCUGCUCGCCGGGGAAGCCUCCUAGCAAGGAAUCCCACGGCCAAAAAGUGGACGGGUGUCACCUCCUGAGAGCCCAGGAUACUUCCCAGGGAGCGUCACGUGCGCAGGUGUCCUGUCGCAGUCUGCACAGGCGGUAGCCCUUUGGCAAAAGGUCAGCAGAAUGGAGUUAUUUGGGACAGAUUGAGUAGUAGCUUUUCCUCUCCCCUUGACCCAAAGGUGACAACGUUGGAAAGUAAACAGGUAUCCUAAAACGUACCUUGUGUCAGGGUAUCGCUAUUCUGUAUCCAAGCUCAUUAAAACGAAAUUGCUAUCUA